rnacentral:lncRNA from 1 species
GGGUGAGACGCGGUGGCGGCGCGCUCCUAUGCAGGAAGGCGAUCGGCAGACCGAAGCUCCUAGAGGGAGGAGGCGGCUUCGGCAACUGCAUGUCCCAGUCUCCCUGUUUCCCCCCCAAUACGUGUCCCUUCUUUGGGCUUCCCUCUGUGCACAUGCCACCCUCUUCACUUUGGUACCCCAUGGCUGGUUCCUAUACCUCUUAGUUCCUCCUUCCAUAAUUGGGCGUCUUCUUUACUCAUUCUCCGACAGCUCCCCUUCCUUUAUUUCCUAUGAAAACUUUUAUAAAAGAGUGACUGAUAGAGUAAAGAUUUUACAGACGGCCUUGGGUUCCAAUUAACUGUACUUUAAAAACUGGGCUGUUUUGGUCAUGUCACUUAGCCUACCUGUUGCCCUGAAUGUGGGCGGUAUUGUAACGGUUCUUCAGAACUGAUCAGUGAUGUAACCCACUUGAACCUUGUUCCUCCCUCCAACGACCUUUUAUAAUUCCACCUGAUGCUUGAUUUCUUUUUGGUUGUCAACCCAGUUUUUCUGCCCUUCUAACUCAAUGUCUAUUCGGCGAUUCUCAUUCCUCACUUCUAAAUAUCUUUUUUGUUGUUGUAGAGAGGUUUUAGAGACCAGGUUUUAUUGUGUCACCCAAACUGACCUAUAUCCACCUGCCUCAGCCUCCCACCACACACCUGGCCCUCAAAAAUCAUACAUUACAGUAUUUCCACGCAUUUUGCUUUCAAUUCUGCAUGUUUCCAACAC